rnacentral:rRNA from 1 species
UGGGCGCAAGCCUGACCCAGCAACGCCGCGUGAAGGACGAAGGCCUUCGGGUUGUAAACUUCGUUUUUGGGGGAAAAGAGAGGAUGGUACCCCCAGAAUAAGUCACGGCUAACUACGUGCCAGCAGCCGCGGUAAUACGUAGGUGACGAGCGUUAUCCGGAAUUACUGGGCGUAAAGCGCACGCAAGCGGUCUAACAAGUCUGGCGUGAAAUCCUCUGGCUUAACCAGGGGCGGUCGCUGGAGACUGUUAAACUUGAGGCGAUGAGAGGGGUGCAGAAUUCCCGGUGUAGUGGUGGAAUGCGUAGAUAUCGGGGGGAAUACCAGUGGCGAAAGCGGCACCCUGGCGUCGUACUGACGCACAUGUGCGAAAGCGUGGGGAGCGAACGGGAUUAGAUACCCCGGUAGUCCACGCGGUAAACGAUGAACACUAGGUGUGGGUGGAGUCAAUCUGUCCGUGCCAAAGCCAACGCGUUAAGUGUUCCGCCUGGGAAGUACGGCCGCAAGGCUA